AGCGAACGCUGGCGGCAGGCCUAACACAUGCAAGUCGAACGAAGUCUUCGGACUUAGUGGCGGACGGGUGAGUAACACGUGGGAACGUGCCCUUUGGUACGGAAUAACUCAGGGAAACUUGAGCUAAUACCGUAUGUGCCCUUCGGGGGAAAGAUUUAUCGCCAUUGGAGCGGCCCGCGUCUGAUUAGCUAGUUGGUGAGGUAAAGGCUCACCAAGGCGACGAUCAGUAGCUGGUCUGAGAGGAUGAUCAGCCACAUUUGGACUGAGACACGGCCCAAACUCCUACGGGAGGCAGCAGUGGGGAAUCAUGCGCAAUGGGCGAAAGCCUGACGCAGCCAUGCCGCGUGAAUGAUGAAGGUCUUAGGGUUGUAAAAUUCUUUCACCGGGGACGAUAAUGACGGUACCCGGAGAAGAAGCCCCGGCUAACUUCGUGCCAGCCGCCGCCGUAA
rnacentral:rRNA from 1 species